UACGUAGGGGGCGAGCGUUGUCCGGAGUUACUGGGCGUAAAGCGCACGCAGGCGGUCUGCUAAGUUUGGAGUGACAGUUGGUGGCUUAACUGCCAAAGUGCUUCGAAAACUGACAGACUUGAGGGCUUCAGAGGGACACGGAAUUCCGGGUGGAGUGGUGAAAUGCGCAGAUAUCGGGAAGAACACCCGUGGCGAAGGCGGCACUCUGGGACGGUACUGACGCUGAGACGCGAAAGCGUGGGGAGCGAACAGG
rnacentral:rRNA from 1 species